AGGGAAUCUUCCACAAUGGACGAAAGUCUGAUGGAGCAACGCCGCGCGAGUGAUGACGGUUUUCGGAUCGUAAAACUCUGUUGUAAGGGAAGAACCAGUACGUCAGGCACUGGACGUACCUCGACGGUACCUUAUCAGCAAGCCACGGCGAACUCAGUGCCAGCAGCCGCGGUAAUACGUAGGUGGCAAGCGUUGUCCGGAAUUAUUGGGCGUAAAGCGCGCGCAGGUGGUUUCUUAAGUCUGAUGUGAAAGCCCACGGCUUAACCGUGGAGGGUCAUUGGAAACUGGGAGACUUGAGUGCAGAAGAGGUAAGUGGAAUUCCAAGUGUAUCGGUGAAAUGCGUAGAGAUUUGGAGGAACACCAGUGGCGAAGGCGACUUUCUGGUCUGCAACUGACGCUGGGGCGCGAAAGCUUGGGGAGCAAACA
rnacentral:rRNA from 1 species